rnacentral:rRNA from 1 species
CCAGACUCCUACGGGAGGCAGCAGUGGGGAAUAUUGCACAAUGGGGGGAACCCUGAUGCAGCGAUGCCGCGUGGAGGAAGAAGGUUUUCGGAUUGUAAACUCCUUUUAUCAGGGACGAUAAUGACGGUACCUGAAGAAAAAGCUCCGGCUAACUACGUGCCAGCAGCCGCGGUAAUACGUAGGGAGCGAGCGUUGUCCGGAUUUACUGGGUGUAAAGGGUGCGCAGGCGGCUCUGCAAGUCAGGCGUGAAAGCUAGGGGCUCAACCCCUAAACUGCGCUUGAAACUGUGGAGCUUGAGUGAAGUAGAGGCAGGCGGAAUUCCCGGUGUAGCGGUGAAGUGCGUAGAGAUCGGGAGGAACACCAGUGGCGAAGGCGGCCUGCUGGGCUUUAACUGACGCUCAGGCACGAAAGCAUGGGUAGCAAACAGGAUUAGAUACCCCCGUAAAC